rnacentral:rRNA from 1 species
CCCUUAGAUGUUCUGGGCCGCACGCGCGCUACACUGACUGACUCAACGAGUGUACAACCUGCUUCGACAGAAGUGGGUAAUCUUUUGAAAUUCAGUCGUGAUGGGGCUAGAUUAUUGAAAUUAUUAAUCUUGAACGAGGAAUUCCUAGUAAACGCAGAUCAUCAAUCUGCAUUGAUUACGUCCCUGCCCUUUGUACACACCGCCCGUCGCACCUACCGAUUGGAUGGUCCGGUGAAGCCUCGGGAUUGUGGUUCUUGCCGCUUUAUUGUGGCGUGACCGCGAGAACUUGUCUAAACCUUAUCAUCUAGAGGAAGGUGAAGUCGUAACA